AGAAUAAAAAUCGAGGCGUCGCUCUUUUUUUAGGGUGAUCGCGUCGGAAUUGAGCCGUCUUUCAAAUGUUAAUUCAUGUCAAAGUGGCUUAAAAUUCAUCCAUCCGGUACGAUUAAAGCGUAUUUAAGAUCAAUUUUGUUCAAGAACGCGCGAUGACGUACCAUCUCAUGUAGUACGUUUGACCUGGCGUCGUCAGGUUCAUUCGUAUACGAUACUCAAC
rnacentral:misc_RNA from 1 species